AACUUUUAACGGUGGAUCUCUUGGCUCGUGCAUCGAUGAAGAACGCAGCCAGGUGCGAUAAGUAGUGUGAAUUGCAGAAUUCAGUGAAUCAUCGAA
rnacentral:rRNA from 1 species